rnacentral:rRNA from 1 species
GGCGGCGUGCCUAAUACAUGCAGUCGAGCGGACAGAAGGGAGCUUGCUCCCGGAUGUUAGCGGCGGACGGGUGAGUAACACGUGGGUAACCUGCCUGUAAGACUGGGAUAACUCCGGGAAACCGGAGCUAAUACCGGAUAGUUCCUUGAACCGCAUGGUUCAAGGAUGAAAGACGGUUUCGGCUGUCACUUACAGAUGGACCCGCGGCGCAUUAGCUAGUUGGUGGGGUAAUGGCUCACCAAGGCGACGAUGCGUAGCCGACCUGAGAGGGUGAUCGGCCACACUGGGACUGAGACACGGCCCAGACUCCUACGGGAGGCAGCAGUAGGGAAUCUUCCGCAAUGGACGAAAGUCUGACGGAGCAACGCCGCGUGAGUGAUGAAGGUUUUCGGAUCGUAAAGCUCUGUUGUUAGGGAAGAACAAGUGCGAGAGUAACUGCUCGCACCUUGACGGUACCUAACCAGAAAGCCACGGCUAACUACGUGCCAGCAGCCGGUCAAAUAU